rnacentral:rRNA from 1 species
GCAAGUCUGGUGCCAGCAGCCGCGGUAAUUCCAGCUCCAAUAGCGUAUAUUAAAGUUGUCGCAGUUAAAAAGCUCGUAGUUGAACCUCGGGAUCAAUGGAUCGGUCAUGCCAUCGGUAUGUACUGGUCUCAUUGGUUCUCACCUUCUAAGGAACCAUGAUGUCAUUCAGUUGAUGUUGUGGGGAAUUAGGACUGUUACCUUGAAAAAAUUAGAGUGUUUAAAGCAGGCUAACGCUUGAAUACAUUAGCAUGGAAUAAUGAAAUAGGACAUCGCAUUCUAUUUUGUUGGUUUCUAGGAUCGAUGUAAUGAUUAAUAGGGAUAGUUGGGGGCAUUAGUAUUCAAUUGUCAGAGGUGAAAUUCUUGGAUUUAUUGAAGACUAACUACUGCGAAAGCAUUUGCCAAGGAUGUUUUCAUUAAUCAAGAACGAAAGUUAGGGGAUCGAAGACGAUCAGAUACCGUCGUAGUCUUAACCAUAAACUAUGCCGACUAGGGAUCGGAUGAUGUUGAUUUUUUAAUGACUCAUUCGGCGCCUUACGGGAAAC